rnacentral:rRNA from 1 species
UACGUAGGGGGCAAGCGUUGUCCGGAUUUAUUGGGCGUAAAGAGCUCGUAGGUGGUUCGGUAAGUCGGAUGUGAAAUCUCCAGGCUCAACCUGGAGGGGUCAUUCGAUACUGCCGUGACUAGAGGUCGGUAGGGGAGUGUGGAAUUCCUGGUGGAGCGGUGAAAUGCGCAGAUAUCAGGAGGAACACCCGUAGCGAAGGCGGCACUCUGGGCCGAUACUGACACUGAGGAGCGAAAGCCAGGGGAGCAAACGGG